UACGUAGGGUGCGAGCGUUAAUCGGAAUUACUGGGCGUAAAGCGUGCGCAGGCGGUUUUGUAAGCCGGAUGUGAAAUCCCCGGGCUUAACCUGGGAAUGGCAUUCGGGACUGCAAGGCUGGAGUGCGGCAGAGGAGACUGGAAUUCCUGGUGUAGCAGUGAAAUGCGUAGAUAUCAGGAGGAACACCGAUGGCGAAGGCAGGUCUCUGGGCUGACACUGACGCUCAUGCACCGAAAGCGUGGGGAGCAAAGAGG
rnacentral:rRNA from 1 species